GGGCUCGUAGCUCAGUUGGUUAGAGCGCAACCUUGACACGGUUGAGGUCCGGCGUUCGAGUCGCCGCGAGCCCACCA
rnacentral:tRNA from 1 species